AUUUAGCUUGUAUAUGUUAACAAUUGAUGGGUUACCUCCAGAUAAGGAACACAUUAGUAAUUAUGGUUUAUUAGUAAGUUCUUUAGUAAUGAUGAUAUACAUGUAUAGCUAUGGUGGAACAUUAAUAUACUCUCAAAGUUUGAGUGUCGCC